rnacentral:rRNA from 1 species
AUGGGAACGCGAAGAACCUUACCUAGACUUGACAUCUCCUGAAUAGUGUAGAGAUACAUGAAGCCCUUCGGGGCAGGAAGACAGGUGGUGCAUGGUUGUCGUCAGCUCGUGUCGUGAGAUGUUGGGUUAAGUCCCGCAACGAGCGCAACCCUUAUUACUAGUUGCUACCAUUAAGUUGAGCACUCUAGUGAGACUGCCCGGGGUUAACCGGGAGGAAGGCGGGGAUGACGUCAAAUCAUCAUGCCCCUUAUGUCUAGGGCUACACACGUGCUACAAUGGUGGGAACAAAGAGAUGCAAUACCGCAAGGUGGAGCCAAACUCAAAACCCCAUCCCAGUUCGGAUUGUAGGCUGAAACUCGCCUACAUGAAGCUGGAGUUGCUAGUAAUCGCGAAUCAGAAUGUCGCGGUGAAUACGUUCCCGGGUCUUGUACACACCG